rnacentral:lncRNA from 1 species
GUUUUGUUUUGUUUUUGUUUUUUUUUUUACUAAUUAUUUAUUAAAAUUUGCUUUAUGAAAACCUGUUGUUUGAUGUUUCAGUGCUGGUGACAAAGAAGAAAUCACAGAAUGCAAAGUCCAUGUUGGACACAUGGAAGAAACCUAAUAAGGCUGCUAAAAACAGUGUUAGGAUGCCUCCACUGAGGGAGCGAGUUGGGAAGGAGGAGCCAAGAGGAGGCAGCACUGAGGAGGAGGAGGAGGAGGAAGAGGAGGAGGAUGAAGAAGAACUGCCCAGUACAGAACAGGAUGAUUAUUUGUAUGGAUCACACCAACCAGGAAAGAAGCUGGAGAGCAUCAGACCAACUGAAGCAACAACCGAGGAUGACGUGGAGAGACGGAGGGAGAGGAAGGGCGCUGGCAAAGCUGCGAUGACUGCAGGGAAAAGAGAUACGCAGAUAGUGAACAGUGCUGAAUCAGAUGGGCAGGGAUGGAGCAAGAGGAAGAAAGGAAAAUGGCAAAGUGAAAAGCCAAGAAGUGGUGAUGUUCAGUCAAUCAGAAGCCAGAGCCAAGAUGGGAGGAGCAACAGAGAAGCUGCAGAGACUCAGGACCAUUCUGCCCCCAUAUCUGUGGUG